UACAGAGGUCUCGAGCGUUAGGCGGAAUCACUGGGCUUAAAGCGUGUGUAGGCGGAUGCCUAAGUACCUUGUGAAAUCCCACGGCUCACCCGUGGAACGGCUGGGUAUACUGGGUGUCUUGAGCCACUUAGGGGCUGCCGGAACAAAUGGUGGAGCGGUGAAAUGCGUAGAGAUAUGGAGGAACACCAGUGGCGAAGGCGACUUUCUGGUCUGUAACUGACACUGAGGCGCGAAAGCGUGGGGAGCAAACAGG
rnacentral:rRNA from 1 species